rnacentral:rRNA from 1 species
AGUCUGAUGUGAAAUCCCCCGGCUCAACCUGGGAGCUGCAUUGGAAACUGGCGAGCUUGAGUGCUGAAGAGGAGAGUGGAAUUCCACGUGUAGCGGUGAAAUGCGUAGAGAUGUGGAGGAACACCGGUGGCGAAGGCGACUCCCUGGACUGUAACUGACGCUCAGGAGCGAAAGCGUGGGGAGCGAACAGGAUUAGAUACCCUGGUAGUCCACGCCGUAAACGAUGACUGCUUGGAGGUUGGGCCCUUGAGGCCCGUAUUGCUGAGCUUAAGCGAUUAGUCAAUCGGCCGGGGAAGUCCGGCCCCAGGACUGAACUUCAAUGGAUUUGACGGGGGCCCGCCCAACCGUGGAACCUGGGGGUUUAUUUCAUACCACCCCGAAAAACCUUACUACGCCUG